rnacentral:rRNA from 1 species
AUGAACGCUGGCGGCGUGCCUAAUACCUGCAAGUCGAGCGCACAGACGAGGAGCUUGCUCCUCUGACGUUAGCGGCGGACGGGUGAGUAACACGUGGAUAACCUACCUAUAAGACUGGGAUAACUUCGGGAAACCGGAGCUAAUACCGGAUAAUAUAUUGAACCGCAUGGUUCAAUAGUGAAAGACGGUUCUGCUGUCACUUAUAGAUGGAUCCGCGCCGCAUUAGCUAGUUGGUAAGGUAACGGCUUACCAAGGCAACGAUGCGUAGCCGACCUGAGAGGGUGAUCGGCCACACUGGAACUGAGACACGGUCCAGACUCCUACGGGAGGCAGCAGUAGGGAAUCUUCCGCAAUGGGCGAAAGCUUGACGGAGCAACGCCGCGUGAGUGAUGAAGGUCUUCGGAUCGUAAAACUCUGUUAUUAGGGAAGAACAAAUGUGUAAGUAACUAUGCACGUCUUGACGGUACCUAAUCAGAAAGCCACGGCUAACUACGUG